rnacentral:rRNA from 1 species
UGGGGAAUAUUGCACAAUGGGCGCAAGCCUGAUGCAGCCAUGCCGCGUGUGUGAAGAAGGCCUUCGGGUUGUAAAGCACUUUCAGCGGGGAGGAAGGCGGUGAGGUUAAUAACCUCAUCGAUUGACGUUACCCGCAGAAGAAGCACCGGCUAACUCCGUGCCAGCAGCCGCGGUAAUACGGAGGGUGCAAGCGUUAAUCGGAAUUACUGGGCGUAAAGCGCACGCAGGCGGUCUGUCAAGUCGGAUGUGAAAUCCCCGGGCUCAACCUGGGAACUGCAUUCGAAACUGGCAGGGUAGAGUCUGGUAGAGGGGGGUAGAAUUCCAGGUGUAGCGGUGAAAUGCGUAGAGAUCUGGAGGAAUACCGGUGGCGAAGGCGGCCCCCUGGGCAAAGACUGACGCUCAGGUGCGAAAGCGUGGGGAGCAAACAGG